CGCUCCCCAGUGUCGAGUGUCUCUCCUUCGUCCUCCCUUGCGGGAGUAGCACAAAUAAAGACGAUCAAGCCGCGGGCGACUCUUGUCCUGUGCUCUGGAGUUUUCUUGCUCUUGAUCUCCCUGUUCCUGAUCCAGGUUGCUGCCGACGAUGACGCGACUCUCGACUGCGAUAGCCAAGUGAAUGGUCUCGCCGGGAAUUGCAUGACUGCCGUGCUCAUUGGAACCAAACCGUCAUCCAAGUGCUGCAAGUUCGUGAGGAGCGCCCAGCUCGACUGCCUCUGUCCCAAGAUCACCAAAGAUGUCACCAAAAUGAUCACCGAGCGUCUGCUCAGCACCGCUCUUAAAAUCGCAAAGCAGUGCAACUGGGAGCUGCCUCACAACUAUCAGUGCGGAAGCUACACUUUUCCCUGAGAAAAGAGAAGUUGAUGAUUCAGGCAUGCUUGUAGCAAAUCCUUGAAAAAGCUUACAGUAAGAAUUCUACGUUUAAUUAUCCGCA